UUGCAGGCUGCAACCCGCCUGCAUGAAGUCGGAAUUGCUAGUAAUCGCGAAUCAGCAUGCCGCGGUGAAUACGUUCCCGGGCCUUGUACACACCGCCCGUCACACCAUGGGAGCCGGUAAUACCCGAAGUCAGUAGUCCAACCUCGUGAGGACGCUGCCGAAGGUAGGAUUGGCGACUGGGGUGAAGUCGUAACAAGGUACC
rnacentral:rRNA from 1 species